GUGUCAGCAGCCGCGGUAAGACGAGGGGUCCAAGCGUUGUUCGGAAUCAUUGGGCGUAAAGCGGGUGUAGGUGGCUCUAUAAGUCAGAAGUGAAAGCCCCGGGCUUAACCCGGGAAGUGCUUUUGAUACUGCAGAGCUUGAAUGUGGGAGAGGGUAGUGGAAUUCCAGGUGUAGUGGUGAAAUACGUAGAUAUCUGGAGGAACACCGGUGGCGAAGGCGGCUACCUGGCCCAACAUUGACACUGAGACCCGAAAGCGUGGGGAUCAAACAGGAUUAGAUACCCUGGUAGUCC
rnacentral:rRNA from 1 species